rnacentral:tRNA from 1 species
CGGAGUGGUGGCCGAGUGGUUGAAGGCGACGGUCUUGAAAACCGCUGUGUCGCAAGGCACCGGGGGUUCGAAUCCCCCCUGCUCCGCGGG